rnacentral:rRNA from 1 species
GAUGAACGCUGGCGGCGUGCCUAAUACAUGCAAGUCGAGCGAACGGACGAGAAGCUUGCUUCUCUGAUGUUAGCGGCGGACGGGUGAGUAACACGUGGAUAACCUACCUAUAAGACUGGGAUAACUUCGGGAAACCGGAGCUAAUACCGGAUAAUAUUUUGAACCGCAUGGUUCAAAAGUGAAAGACGGUCUUGCUGUCACUUAUAGCUGGAUCCGCGCUGCAUUAGCUAGUUGGUAAGGUAACGGCUUACCACGGCAACGAUGCAUAGCCGACCUGAGAGGGGGAUCGGCCACACUGGAACUGAGACACGGUCCAGACUCCUACGGGAGGCAGCAGUAGGGAAUCUUCCGAAAUGGGCGAAAGACUGACGGAGCAACGCCGCGUGAGUGAUGAAGGUCUGCGGAUCGUAAAACUCUGUUAUUAGGGAAGAACAUAUGUGUAAGUAACGGUGCACAUCUGGAGGGUACCUAAUAAGAAAGCCACGGCUAACUACGU